rnacentral:rRNA from 1 species
UACGGAGGGUGCAAGCGUUAUCCGGAUUCACUGGGUUUAAAGGGUGCGUAGGCGGGUUGGUAAGUCCGUGGUGAAAUCUCCGAGCUUAACUCGGAAACUGCCGUGGAUACUAUCAAUCUUGAAUAUCGUGGAGGUAAGCGGAAUAUGUCAUGUAGCGGUGAAAUGCUUAGAUAUGACAUAGAACACCAAUUGCGAAGGCAGCUCACUACACGAAUAUUGACUCUGAGGCACGAAAGCGUGGGGAUCAAACAGG